GACGAACGCUGGCGGCGUGCCUAAUACAUGCAAGCCGAGCGGACCUUCGGGGUUAGCGGCGGACGGUGAGUAACACGUGGGUAACCUGCCCUAUGGAGGGGGAUAACACAAAGAAAUUUGUGCUAAUACCGCAUAAAGUAUCUCCGGCGCAUGCCGGAGCUAUCAAAGAUUUAUUGCCAUAGGAUGGACCCGCGGCCCAUUAGCUAGUUGGUGAGGUAACGGCUCACCAAGGCGACGAUGGGUAGCCGAUCUGAGAGGAUGAUCAGCCACAUUGGGACUGAGACACGGCCCAGACUCCUACGGGAGGCAGCAGUGGGGAAUCUUGGACAAUGGGCGAAAGCCUGAUCCAGCAAUGCCGCGUGUGGGAAGAAGGCCUUCGGGUUGUAAACCACUUUUGGCGGGAAAGAAAUGGUCUGUGCUAAUACCACGGAUUGAUGACGGUACCCGCAGAAUAAGCACCGGCUAACUACGUG
rnacentral:rRNA from 1 species